rnacentral:lncRNA from 1 species
CUCAUGACACAGUCUCGAGCUUCCUAAUCAGGUUUGGUCAUGUUGUUUACAUGUAGAUGUUUCUUUUCAUUUGUAUCUCUUGCAUCAUUCAUUUAUCAUAUCAUCCUUAUGUUUAAUUAUAUGCCAUUUAUUUUUCUGGUAGUUUUUUUUAAAGGAUACUAUUUAUUGUAGUUUCUUCUCAUUGUUGCUGCUUCUCAGCUUUGCAACAGAGGCUUUGUACAUGUAUGGUAGUUACGCCGCUUGCUGUUGAGUAUCUUUUAUACUCGAUACAACUGUAUGUUUCCUUUAUUCAUGACAAAAUAUUUGGUAUAUAUUUAUUUUCUUACAUAAUGUGAAUUUGAAUUAUACUGACAUUUAUAUUUUUGUUCUUGACCCCUCUUACUUAAAUCAUGGUCAUUACCGCCACCCCAACCCCAACUUAAGAGCUACUGCAUGCAGAUCAGAACCUAAAUUUAACAUUGUACCUUCAACCACACCAACAAAAUAAACAAGUUCCUAAUGACUUAACGCGAGCUGUCCCUACACUUGAAGAAAUCACCUUCCCCUGUCUCUCAAACAUAGACUGUACGAAUACAUACAAUAAAGAUGUUUCAAACUUUAAAUGUAUAUUUCUCUUUGUAUUUAACCAUACAAAUUUUAUUUUUUCUUCAAUUAACAAUUGCUUGGCAAUCCGACUACCUAAUUUUACAUAUGCACACAACAAAAUUUAUCACCUCAUCUUACUUUCCUCACCAUUUUUUGUAUCCAAUGUUUUCACCAUUCGGGUGUCUUAUGUGAUCGGUGUUGAUCGUCAUCACAUGUUUGUAAAACAACCCCAAAAAAUCAUAAACCCAAAAUCACAAAGGAAGAGAUCAAAGUAAGACCUAUCUGUCUUCCCUCUAAUUGCUGUACCAUGUAAAGACACUGAGGGAAAACACAGAAUUCAAGUAGGUCUGCACACAAAGUUGGUGGGAGAAGAUCACCCAAGUUGCAUGCAAUAACGGAUAACGCUAAUUGAUAUGUACACGAAGUCUGGCGGUGCAUACCAAAUGUUUGGACGAAAAUGACUGAGGGAGACAAUAGUUUGAUCUCGGGGCAAGAUUGGGGCAGAGGAAGAGUGCGAGGGAAGUGUUUGAUGAAAUGCCUUGGAAGACUAGCUGUAUGAUGAACCAGGACUUGCUUCUAAAGUCCUUCCACUGUGUAGCAACCAUAGUCUGGGAAUGGUCGUUGGACGUCACAACUAUGCAGUUAGAUAUUUUUUCAUAUAGAUUUAUGUACAUAUUUAUUUAUUUCGAAUGUGAGAUGUGUCUAAAUUAAACGUGACAAUGAAAACCCAGUGUGGUUGUUGAAGCAGCACAAGGUGGUGAAGAAGAGGGGGAGAUGUGAUUAAACUAAACGUGACAACGAUAUAGCAGGGUGGAGAAGAGGGACAAACCUUACAACUCGAUUUCUAUUGGUUGGCUGACUAUUACAAUAGUUGUGUCUAUGCUAGGCCCAAGUAGUAGAAUCUAUUGAACCCUUGACACACUAACCCAUGAUCUCUUGUUACAUGACACUUCAUUUAUAUAAUACAUGUUGGUUGCUAAGUGACACAAAUAUCUUGAUUAGACCUUAUCAAAUCAACUUGUAAGUAUGAAACAGACAACUUAUAAAGAAUCAAAUUAUAUAUCAA